GUAGGUGGCAAGCGUUGUCCGGAAUUAUUGGGCGUAAAGCGCGCGCAGGCGGUUCUUUAAGUCUGAUGUGAAAGCCCACGGCUCAACCGUGGAGGGUCAUUGGAAACUGGAGGACUUGAGUACAGAAGAGGAAAGCGGAAUUCCACGUGUAGCGGUGAAAUGCGUAGAGAUGUGGAGGAACACCAGUGGCGAAGGCGGCUUUCUGGUCUGUAACUGACGCUGAGGCGCGAAAGCGUGGGGAGCAAACAGGAUUAGAUACCCUGGUAGUCCACGCCGUAAACGAUGAGUGCUAAGUGUUAGGGGGGUUUCCGCCCCCCUUAGUGCUGCAGCUAACGCAUUAGGCACUCCGCCUGGGAGUACGGCCGCAAGGCUG
rnacentral:rRNA from 1 species